rnacentral:lncRNA from 1 species
CAUAGAUACGUAAGGUCAUAAUGCGCAAAUGGCAGAGAAUAGCGAAGGAGGGAGUAACAAAACAUCGUAAAAAGGUAUAAAACAUUAAAAUAUUAAAACGCACUGUAUAUGGUGAUUUAAAGGACUUAUAAUUUAAAAUAAAGUACUUGUUCUCCCUUUACUAGGAGGCCACUUUAUUAAGAAGGUAUUUCCACGAGGGCAGCAAUUCCUGUACUGGAUGGUCAUUUAGGAGACAGUCUUGGUCUGCUCUUGUAUAGAUCUCUAUAGAUUCUGCUGCGGUGGCAUGCUUUUGUUUUGCAAUGGCUUGUAUGACACAUGCUUCAGGCCAUUUUACUAUUAUGUCCUCUUCAUGUGCACUUCUCGCCAGGGCUGUGGAAACUUCACCUUUAACCAAGUCUUUCUUGUGCUCUUGCAAUUUUAUUUCUAAUGGCCUUGACGUAACACCUAUAUAUAUUUCCUCUUUAUUCUUCAUGUUGUUUACUGUGGGAAUCUUGUAUAUCUCUGCUUUUUGUCUCUUUUCUUCUAUCUUUUUUGUUCCUAAGGUAACCAUAGAUUGUAGGGUAUCUUUUGAAGGCAAUC